rnacentral:rRNA from 1 species
GGUUAAGCGACUAAGCGUACACGGUGGAUGCCCUGGCAGUCAGAGGCGAUGAAGGACGUGCUAAUCUGCGAUAAGCGUCGGUAAGGUGAUAUGAACCGUUAUAACCGGCGAUUUCCGAAUGGGGAAACCCAGUGUGAUUCGUCACACUAUCAUUAACUGAAUCCAUAGGUUAAUGAGGCGAACCGGGGGAACUGAAACAUCUAAGUACCCCGAGGAAAAGAAAUCAACCGAGAUUCCCCCAGUAGCGGCGAGCGAACGGGGAGCAGCCCAGAGCCUGAAUCAGUGUGUGUGUUAGUGGAAGCGUCUGGAAAGGCGCGCGAUACAGGGUGACAGCCCCGUACACAAAAAUGCACAUACUGUGAGCUCGAUGAGUAGGGCGGGACACGUGGUAUCCUGUCUGAAUAUGGGGGGACCAUCCUCCAAGGCUAAAUACUCCUGACUGACCGAUAGUGAACCAGUACCGUGAGGGAAAGGCGAAAAGAACCCCGGCGAGGGGAGUGAAAAAGAACCUGAAACCGUGUACGUACAAGCAGUGGGAGCACGCUUAGGCGUGUGACUGCGUACCUUUUGUAUAAUGGGUCAGCGACUUAUAUUCUGUAGCAAGGUUAACCGAAUAGGGGAGCCGAAGGGAAACCGAGUCUUAACUGGGCGUUAAGUUGCAGGGUAUAGACCCGAAACCCGGUGAUCUAGCCAUGGGCAGGUUGAAGGUUGGGUAACACUAACUGGAGGACCGAACCGACUAAUGUUGAAAAAUUAGCGGAUGACUUGUGGCUGGGGGUGAAAGGCCAAUCAAACCGGGAGAUAGCUGGUUCUCCCCGAAAGCUAUUUAGGUAGCGCCUCGUGAAUUCAUCUCCGGGGGUAGAGCACUGUUUCGGCAAGGGGGUCAUCCCGACUUACCAACCCGAUGCAAACUGCGAAUACCGGAGAAUGUUAUCACGGGAGACACACGGCGGGUGCUAACGUCCGUCGUGAAGAGGGAAACAACCCAGACCGCCAGCUAAGGUCCCAAAGUCAUGGUUAAGUGGGAAACGAUGUGGGAAGGCCCAGACAGCCAGGAUGUUGGCUUAGAAGCAGCCAUCAUUUAAAGAAAGCGUAAUAGCUCACUGGUCGAGUCGGCCUGCGCGGAAGAUGUAACGGGGCUAAACCAUGCACCGAAGCUGCGGCAGCGACGCUGAUGCGUUGUUGGGUAGGGGAGCGUUCUGUAAGCCUGCGAAGGUGUGCUGUGAGGCAUGCUGGAGGUAUCAGAAGUGCGAAUGCUGACAUAAGUAACGAUAAAGCGGGUGAAAAGCCCGCUCGCCGGAAGACCAAGGGUUCCUGUCCAACGUUAAUCGGGGCAGGGUGAGUCGACCCCUAAGGCGAGGCCGAAAGGCGUAGUCGAUGGGAAACAGGUUAAUAUUCCUGUACUUGGUGUUACUGCGAAGGGGGGACGGAGAAGGCUAUGUUGGCCGGGCGACGGUUGUCCCGGUUUAAGCGUGUAGGCUGGUUUUCCAGGCAAAUCCGGAAAAUCAAGGCUGAGGCGUGAUGACGAGGCACUACGGUGCUGAAGCAACAAAUGCCCUGCUUCCAGGAAAAGCCUCUAAGCAUCAGGUAACAUCAAAUCGUACCCCAAACCGACACAGGUGGUCAGGUAGAGAAUACCAAGGCGCUUGAGAGAACUCGGGUGAAGGAACUAGGCAAAAUGGUGCCGUAACUUCGGGAGAAGGCACGCUGAUAUGUAGGUGAAGUCCCUCGCGGAUGGAGCUGAAAUCAGUCGAAGAUACCAGCUGGCUGCAACUGUUUAUUAAAAACACAGCACUGUGCAAACACGAAAGUGGACGUAUACGGUGUGACGCCUGCCCGGUGCCGGAAGGUUAAUUGAUGGGGUCAGCGCAAGCGAAGCUCUUGAUCGAAGCCCCGGUAAACGGCGGCCGUAACUAUAACGGUCCUAAGGUAGCGAAAUUCCUUGUCGGGUAAGUUCCGACCUGCACGAAUGGCGUAAUGAUGGCCAGGCUGUCUCCACCCGAGACUCAGUGAAAUUGAACUCGCUGUGAAGAUGCAGUGUACCCGCGGCAAGACGGAAAGACCCCGUGAACCUUUACUAUAGCUUGACACUGAACAUUGAGCCUUGAUGUGUAGGAUAGGUGGGAGGCUUUGAAGUGUGGACGCCAGUCUGCAUGGAGCCGACCUUGAAAUACCACCCUUUAAUGUUUGAUGUUCUAACGUUGACCCGUAAUCCGGGUUGCGGACAGUGUCUGGUGGGUAGUUUGACUGGGGCGGUCUCCUCCUAAAGAGUAACGGAGGAGCACGAAGGUUGGCUAAUCCUGGUCGGACAUCAGGAGGUUAGUGCAAUGGCAUAAGCCAGCUUGACUGCGAGCGUGACGGCGCGAGCAGGUGCGAAAGCAGGUCAUAGUGAUCCGGUGGUUCUGAAUGGAAGGGCCAUCGCUCAACGGAUAAAAGGUACUCCGGGGAUAACAGGCUGAUACCGCCCAAGAGUUCAUAUCGACGGCGGUGUUUGGCACCUCGAUGUCGGCUCAUCACAUCCUGGGGCUGAAGUAGGUCCCAAGGGUAUGGCUGUUCGCCAUUUAAAGUGGUACGCGAGCUGGGUUUAGAACGUCGUGAGACAGUUCGGUCCCUAUCUGCCGUGGGCGCUGGAGAACUGAGGGGGGCUGCUCCUAGUACGAGAGGACCGGAGUGGACGCAUCACUGGUGUUCGGGUUGUCAUGCCAAUGGCACUGCCCGGUAGCUAAAUGCGGAAGAGAUAAGUGCUGAAAGCAUCUAAGCACGAAACUUGCCCCGAGAUGAGUUCUCCCUGACUCCUUGAGAGUCCUGAAGGAACGUUGAAGACGACGACGUUGAUAGGCCGGGUGUGUAAGCGCAGCGAUGCGUUGAGCUAACCGGUACUAAUGAACCGUGAGGCUUAACCUU